CGUUCGGAACGACAUUAAAGAUGGCCGCCAAGAAGUGUAGGAGGAAGCUGGACCCCCUCGACAUCAUCAAAAUCGGGCGACGACACGGGAUUUCUCGUGAUUCCUCAAAAGUGUUCGGGAACUCAAGUGGAGGGGCGGAUCCCACUGUCUUCUCUAAAGCAAAACCCUGCGAGGUGGUGAUCGGACGACGUUUGGUUGAUUGUUAGCAGGUUGGAGGCGGUGACGUCGGUCGAUCACGUAGACGUGGCAAUAAAAAAGGAAUGGGGGAACAAUUCGUGCUAAUUAAAAUGCGGAUGGUUUCUUUC